rnacentral:rRNA from 1 species
GGCCAGACUCCUACGGGAGGCAGCAGUGGGGAAUAUUGCACAAUGGGGGAAACCCUGAUGCAGCGACGCCGCGUGAGCGAUGAAGUAUUUCGGUAUGCAAGGCUCUAUCAGCAGGGAAGAAAAUGACGGUACCUGACUAAGAAGCCCCGGCUAACUACGUGCCAGCAGCCGCGGUAAUACGUAGGGGGCAAGCGUUAUCCGGAUUUACUGGGUGUAAAGGGGGCGCAGACGGCAGCGCAAGCCAGGAGUGAAAGCCCGGGGCCCAACCCCGGGACUGCUCUUGGAACUGCGCGGCUGGAGUGCAGGAGGGGCAGGCGGAAUUCCUGGUGUAGCGGUGAAAUGCGUAGAUAUCAGGAGGAACACCGGUGGCGAAGGCGGCCUGCUGGACUGCGACUGACGUUGAGGCCCGAAAGCGUGGGGAGCAAACAGGAUUAGAUACCCGGGUA